UGGGCCGCUUGUGGAUGACGUCAUUCACAUGCAGCUGCGAUCGUAUCUUUCGCGCCGAAAGAUAACGGCUGGGACUAAGUAAAAAGUAGUAAAAAUGGAGACAUAGCGAAACGCUGAUGUCUCCAUUUUUACUGCUUUUUACUACUUGAAUGGACUGAGGGUGAUGAUAGUGGGGCGCAUAGUAUUUUGGCGAUUGACUGUGUCCGGAACUUUUCAGUUCAAGAUUUUUUUGCCUCGACUGAACAAAACGAGAAGCUGGUGGAAUGGCGAAACGGCCGCCAACCCUGGCCGGUUCACCCAGCCAAAAUUAUUGACGUGGCAAGUAAGUUAUGUUACAUUCUAUUAUGUAUAUAUUACAUUAAAUUUUGCUCGCACGUAAAGAAGUGUAAAAUGGAUCUUGUUACCUGACUAGCUUAGCAUGCUGGCUGUUAGCUACAUUAGCAAACAUUAGCUAUUUGCUAAUGUUAAUGUUAAGUCUCUUAAUUCGGCAGGGGAAGACUGAGAAGGCUUAAAAAAAGGUAACUGACUGCACCAAUUGGUGCUUUAGUUUAAGUUAUCUCCCCUCUCUUGUUUCUUAAUGUGUAUGUUUGUAGGUUUGUAAUUGUGUCAUCUAUGAUGAUUUAAUGUGCUUUGCCAAGAUAUAUGUGCAAGGUGGUGUAACGCAAGUUAAUAAGAGUUGGGCUAAAAGUCAGUGUCUUGUGGGUUGACAGUAAAAAGGGAGGGUCUUCCAAAAACAAGCACCAGGAGGGUGAGAAGCAGGAGGAGGGUCAUGACAGACUUUCAAAGAACAAGGUUGUCGUGAAAAAGAAAAAUGUUUCUAAAUACGAGACAGGAGGAGGAGGAGAUAGUGGAUGAUGAGGCGCGUCAUGACACAAAGAACAAGGUGGGAAGCCAACCAGAGGGGACGGGGAGCAGCUGGUUGCCCUGGACAAAAUAAAAAAGGCAGCCAUUAUUGGCAUCAAUGGAGACUGGAUAAGAUGCUACAUUGAAGAAAUGGCCGGCAGCCAGCCGAGGGCAGAUAGGCACAGCUAUAAAUUCCAAGCUCGCAGAGAUGC